rnacentral:rRNA from 1 species
UGCGUAGGUGGUUUCUUUAAGUCAGAGGUGAAAGGCUACGGCUCAACCGUAGUAAGCCUUUGAAACUGGGAAACUUGAGUGCAGGAGAGGAGAGUGGAAUUCCUAGUGUAGCGGUGAAAUGCGUAGAUAUUAGGAGGAACACCAGUUGCGAAGGCGGCUCUCUGGACUGUAACUGACACUGAGGCACGAAAGCGUGGGAAGCAAACA